UACGGAGGGGACUAGCGUUGUUCGGAAUUACUGGGCGUAAAGCGCACGUAGGCGGAUUUGCAAGUCAGGGGUGAAAUCCCGGGGCUCAACCUCGGAACUGCCUUUGAUACUGCAAAUCUCGAGUCCGGAAGAGGUGAGUGGAAUUCCUAGUGUAGAGGUGAAAUUCGUAGAUAUUAGGAAGAACACCAGUGGCGAAGGCGACUCACUGGACAUGUAUUGACGCUGAGGUGCGAAAGCGUGGGGAGCAAACAGG
rnacentral:rRNA from 1 species